AUUGAACGCUGGCGGCAUGCUUUACACAUGCAAGUCGAACGGUAACAGGGUGCUUGCACCGCUGACGAGUGGCGAACGGGUGAGUAAUGCGUCGGAACGUGCCGAGUAGUGGGGGAUAACGCAGCGAAAGUUGUGCUAAUACCGCAUACGUACUGAGGUAGAAAGUGGGGGACCUUCGGGCCUUACGCUAUUCGAGCGGCCGACGUCUGAUUAGCUAGUAGGUGAGGUAAAGGCUCACCUAGGCGACGAUCAGUAGCGGGUCUGAGAGGAUGAUCCGCCACACUGGGACUGAGACACGGCCCAGACUCCUACGGGAGGCAGCAGUGGGGAAUUUUGGACAAUGGGCGAAAGCCUGAUCCAGCCAUGCCGCGUGUCUGAAGAAGGCCUUCGGGUUGUAAAGGACUUUUGUCGGGGAGGAAAUCCCCAGCGUUAAUACCGCUGGGGGAUGACAGUACCUGAAGAAUAAGCACCGGCUAACUACGUGCCAGCAGCCGCGGUAACAC
rnacentral:rRNA from 1 species